rnacentral:tRNA from 2 species
GGUGUUGUGGCUCAGCGGUAGAGCACUCACCUAGCACAUGCAAGGCCCUGGGUUCGAUCCUCAGCAACACAU